UCGAAACCUGCCCAACUGAACAACCAGCGAACAUGUUUACACAUUAUUUGGGGAGGGGUUGCUGGUCUUUCCAGUCCCUCCCCAAUGCCGGGGCGUUUUCCUUCGGGGGCGCGUCCCGGCACAACAACCAACCCCGGCGCGUAUGCGCCAAGGAACAUAACCACGAGCGUGUCUGUCCUUUCCCGGGCGUCCGGGGCAAGCGAUAUGGCACCCAAUCUUAGUCAUAAAAUGACUCUCGGCAACGGAUAUCUCGGCUCUUGCAUCGAUGAAGAACGUAGCGAAAUGCGAUACUUGGUGUGAAUUGCAGAAUCCCGUGAACCAUCGAGUUUUUGAACGCAAGUUGCGCCCGAAGCCUUUUGGUCAGGGCACGCCUGUCUGGGCGUCACGCAUAGCGUCUCUCUCCCCCAUACCAAGUAUGGGAGGGGUGAGGAUGAUGGCCUCCCAUGCCUCACCGGAUAUGGAUGGCCUAAAUAAGGAGCCCUUGGCGACGAAAUGUCACGGCAAUUGGUGGUACACAAGGCACAUGCCUAGAAAGCAUCGUGUCGUGCAUCCCGUAGCCUAUUAGGGCUGGAAGGACCCGUGUCAACCUUUGCGACCCCAGGUCAGGCGGGGUUACC
rnacentral:rRNA from 1 species